GUAAUUUCUGCUUUAUGAAUUCAAUUAAAUUUUUCAAAAAUUGAAUUUGUUCACCCGGGGCGAGGCAUUGCACUUCAUAUGCGCUGUCCCCUGCGAAUUCCCCAAAUGUGGGAAUCUCAACUGCAUGAUUUCUGGUAGUGGGGGACCGCAUUUGCGCUCUCCCCUG